rnacentral:rRNA from 1 species
UACGGAGGGGGCGAGCGUUGUUCGGAGUCACUGGGCGUAAAGCGCACGUAGGCGGUGCGGUAAGUCCGGGGUCAAAGGCUACGGCUCAACCGUAGUAAGGCCUCAGAUACUAUCGUGCUAGAGUGCCGGAGAGGGUAGCGGAAUUCCCUGUGUAGCGGUGAAAUGCGUAGAUAUAGGGAGGAACACCGGUUGCGAAGGCGGCUACCUGGCCGGUAACUGACGCUGAGGUGCGAGAGCGUGGGGAGCAAACAGG